AACCCCGCUCCGCCUCCUGCAUCAUCAGUUUCUACCUGAUUCUAUGGUACGGCCCUUAACCUGCUGGCACAUCACUUCACAUCUUCCUGAUUUUGUUUGGUUUUUGUUUCCUUCAAGCUAAGCUAGCAAACGCACUCUGUCCCUAAACCUUUGAUGUUUUGAGGCAAUUUCUUCGUUUGCAACAUUAAAAGAAGGAAAGUAGUGUAACUAUUACUUUCUGUAAUUCCAGCUAACUCGCCCAUAUGAUCUUUAAUCCUGUGAUCUUAUGGGCACAUGACUGGAUUACAUCAAAAGUAGUUAACCUUUUUAAUUCUGGUUUUAUUGCCUGAUGAUGGGGUAUUGAGACUGGAACCUCAUCUGAGAAUCCUAUGCCAUAGGGAUGAGAAAUUUACGAUGAAAGUCCUCUCAAAUAAUUGGUUUGUUCGACAAUCACCUAACAGUGAAGAACAUUGGCAUUUGGC